rnacentral:rRNA from 1 species
AGAGUUUGAUCCUGGCUCAGGAUGAACGCUGGCGGCGUGCCUUAUGCAUGCAAGUCGAACGGUCCGACGGAUCCCGCAAGGGGCUCGUCGGGCAGUGGCGGACGGGUGAGUACAAGCAAGGAACGUACCCCUUAUUGUGGGAUAGCUCGUCGAAAGACGGGGUAAUACCGCAUGAUCCCGCAAGGGUAAAGCGCUUAACCGCGCGAUAAGGGAGCGGCCUUGUGGCUAUCAGCUUGUUGGUGGGGGAAAGGCCUACCAAGGCUACGACGGCUAGGGGGCGUGAGAGCGCGACCCCCCACAAUGGCACUGAGACACGGGCCAUACACCUACGGGUGGCAGCAACAGGGAAUCGUUGGCAAUGGACGCAAGUCUGACCACGCGACGCCGCGUGAGGGAUGAAGGCUUUCGGGUCGUAAACCUCUUUUAUCUCGCCGUCGAGGCGAGGAGAAUAAGCACCUACUAACUACGUGCCAGCAGUCGCGGUAAUACGUAGGGUGCAAGCGUUAUCCGGAUUCACUGGGCGUAAAGUGUCGUGUAGGCGGUUUACCGCAUCGUGCUUGAAAGCCCGAGGCUUAACCUCGGCGUUGGGCACGAGAUGAGUAGACUUGAGGGAGGCAGAGGAACGGGGAACUCAUGGUGAAGCAGUGAAAUGCGUUGAUAUCAUGAGGAACACCAAAGGCGAAGGCACCGUUCUGGACCUCUCCUGACGCUGAGACACGAAAGCUAGGGGAGCGAAGCAGAUUAGAGACCUGCGUAGUCCUAGCCCUAAACGCAUGCCUGCUAGUUGCUCGCCGCAAGGCGAGUGACGUAAGCUAACGCGUUAAGCAGGCCGCCUGGGGAGUACGAUCGCAAGAUUAAAACUCAAAGGAAUUGACGGGGACCCGCACAACCGGUGGAGCGUGUGGUUCAAUUCGAGACAAAGCGAAAGACCUCACCAGGUCUUGACAUGCUACCGUUUACCCGCCUGGAAACAGAUGGGGAUCCGCAAGGAUGGUAGCACAGCUGCUGCAUGGCUGUCGUCAGCUCGUGCCGUGAGGUAUUCCCUUAAGUGGGAGAACGAGCGCAACCCGUAUCCGAUGUUACAAGUGUCAUCGGAGACUGCGGUGGCUCAUGCCACCGAGGAAGGAACGGACGACGUCAAGUCAGCACGGCGCUUAUGACCUGGGCCACACACACCCUACAAUGGCGAAGAACAAUGGGAUGCGAGGUAGUAAUACCAAGCAAAUCUCCGUUAAAUUUCGCCUCAGUUCAGAUUGAGGGCUGCAACUCGCCCUCAUGAAGUCGGAAUCGGUAGUAAUCGCAGAUCAGCAGGCUGCGGUGAAUACGUUCUCGGGUCUUGUACACACCGCCCGUCAAGCCAACAAAGUUGGAGGCGGCCGAAGAGCCCCGCAAGGGGAGCUAAGCCGAAACCAGCGAUGGGGACUAAGUCGUAACAAGGUAUCCCUAGCCGAAGCUGGGGAUG